rnacentral:rRNA from 1 species
UACAGAGGUGGCAAGCGUUGUUCGGAAUUACUGGGCGUAAAGGGCGCGUAGGCGGCCCGCUAAGUCCCGCGUGAAAGCCCCCGGCUCAACUGGGGAACGGCGCGGGAAACUAUCGGGCUUGAGUUCGGGAGAGGGAAGCGGAAUUCCGGGUGUAGCGGUGAAAUGCGUAGAUAUCCGGAGGAACACCGGUGGCGAAGGCGGCUUCCUGGACCGACACUGACGCUGAGGCGCGAAAGCUAGGGGAGCAAACGGG